AGCAGCCGCGGUAAUUCCAGCUCCAAUAGCGUAUAUUAAAGUUGUUGUGGUUAAAAAGCUCGUAGUUGAACCUUGGGCCUGGCUGGCCGGUCCGCCUCACCGCGUGUACUGGUCCGGCCGGGCCUUUCCCUCUGUGGAGCCCCAUGCCCUUCACUGGGUGUGGCGGGGAAACAGGACUUUUACUGUGAAAAAAUUAGAGUGCUCCAGGCAGGCCUAUGCUCGAAUACAUUAGCAUGGAAUAAUAGAAUAGGACGUGCGGUCCUAUUUUGUUGGUUUCUAGAGUCGCCGUAAUGAUUAAUAGGGACAGUCGGGGGCAUCCGUAUUCAAUUGUCAGAGGUGAAAUUCUUGGAUCUAUUGAAGACGAACUACUGCGAAAGCAUUUGCCAAGGAUGUUUUCAUUAAUCAGGAACGAAAGUUAGGGGAUCGAAAACGAUCAGAUACCGUUGUAGUCUUAACCAUAAACUAUGCCGACUAGGGAUCGGACGAUGUUAACUUUUCUUGACUCG
rnacentral:rRNA from 1 species